ensembl:snRNA U1 U1 spliceosomal RNA
AUACUUACCUGGCAGAGGAGAUACUGUGAUCAAGAAGGCGGUUCACCCAGGGUGAGGCUCAGCCAUUGCACUCCAGCUGUGCUGACCCCUGUGAAUUCCCCAAAUGUGGUAAUCUCAACUGCAUGAUUUCUGGCAGUCGUGGCCUAGC